AGGGAAGAAACGGUGGGAGCUAAUAUCUCCUGCUAAUGACGGUACCUGAAGAAUAAGCACCGGCUAACUACGUGCCAGCAGCCGCGGUAAUACGUAGGGUGCAAGCGUUAAUCGGAAUUACUGGGCGUAAAGCGUGCGCAGGCGGUUUUGUAAGUCUGAUGUGAAAUCCCCGGGCUCAACCUGGGAAUUGCAUUGGAGACUGCAAGGCUAGAAUCUGGCAGAGGGGGGUAGAAUUCCACGUGUAGCAGUGAAAUGCGUAGAUAUGUGGAGGAACACCGAUGGCGAAGGCAGCCCCCUGGGUCAAGAUUGACGCUCAUGCACGAAAGCGUGGGGAGCAAACAGGAUUAGAUACCCUGGUAGUCCACGCCCUAAACGAUGUCUACUAGUUGUCGGGUCUUAAUUGACUUGGUAACGCAGCUAACGCGUGAAGUAGACCGCCUGGGGAGUACGGUCGCAAGAUUAAAACUCAAAGGAAUUGACGGGGACCCGCACAAGCGGUGGAUGAUGUGGAUUAAUUCGAUGCAACGCGAAAAACCUUACCUACCCUUGACAUGGCUGGAAUCCCGGAGAGAUUUGGGAGUGCUCGAAAGAGAACCAGUACACAGGUACUGCAUGGCUGUCGUCAGC
rnacentral:rRNA from 1 species